UGCCAGCCGCCGCGGUAAUACGGAGGGGGCGAGCGUUGUUCGGAAUUACUGGGCGUAAAGCGUGCGUAGGCGGUUAUGCAAGUUAGGAGUGAAAGCCCUGGGCUCAACCUAGGAACGGCUCUUAAAACUGCAUGGCUAGAAUCCGGGAGAGGAUAGCGGAAUUUCCAGUGUAGAGGUGAAAUUCGUAGAUAUUGGAAGGAACACCAGUGGCGAAGGCGGCUAUCUGGACCGGUAUUGACGCUGAGGCACGAAAGCGUGGGGAGCAAACAGGAUUAGAUA
rnacentral:rRNA from 1 species